UUUUAAUUUAAUCAACAAUUAUAAUUUAUAAUAAAGUUUAAUAGGUAUAAUUAAUUAAAUUAUUCUAUUAAAAUUUUAUUAUAAAUUAUAAUUAUAUUAAGUAUUAUUUAUUUCAAAGUUAGGUAAGGUUUCCUGUUUAAUACAUAUCCACCAAACAUUUUGGCAUGUGCAGCGUGUAAAAUAUAUAUAUAUAUAUAUAUAUAUAAGAUUACAAUGGACCAAUCAUGUUUUGUCCUUCUCUUACCCAUAGCUCACGUUCCAGUAUUUCCCAACCAAAAACUUUCCUCCAUUGUUUUUGAUGACAAGCUUCACCACUUUAACAAAUUUUCAAUCCCAGCAGCCCUUUGGUGUAAGACCAACUCGAGGGACCAUGGUGGUGAAGGAAAAUGGUGCAAAGGAGCAAAUCGUGUGGAUUAAGGGUGUGGAAGAGAAACCCAUGCCGUAAGUUUCAAGACCCCUCGCCGGCGUUCAUGGUCACCAGUCACCAUAGGACUAACGGGAAGUGACUCCUAAUGACCCCAGCUACCCAAAUCGGCAGUUAGGACUUGGUUCCAUGGAGUUCCGACGAGAUUAAGAGAAAGAGGAGAGAGAAAGUUGAGGUAGUGAACUUUCCGGCCAUUUUCCCGGCAAUUCGACCGUCAGAUCAAAAAUUCGAGACAACUGAUGGACUCAGAAUGGCGAAAUAUUCGAGAUAGGACUGGUCCUGCUCCGAUCGGAUACCGUUUGAAAAAGGCGAUAAUCGGACGGUUCAAAUCGCUUGAUGCAAUCGGAUCGAGGAUAGCUCAGUAGCGCCGGUACUGCAUUUUCAGCCAGAUUUGGCUGCUCGGCAGCUCGUCUCAAAACGUAGUAGAUAUUAUAGUCAAACCUAGCAUUUUCAGAUGUUCUAGACGCAUUUCAGUUGUCCGAUUUAACAUAGGUAAACUCGAACACGAAAUUGCUCAUUUUCGGCUAAUACUGAUUUAAAAUAAAAUUUAUAAAUUAUUCGUGGAUGAUCAGAAAAUUAUGAUUCUUUUUUUGCAAUAGCCUCAUAAUAUUGUUAAAGACUGCGGAACAAGUUUAUAGAAUUUUUAAAGUCAAUUUGGAUAGUUUUUGAGAAAUGUUAGUUUUAAAAUAUUGUAAUUGAGUUGUCUGAUGUUGUGAUUAUUGCUUGGUUUGGAGGGCCCAGGAGGGGCCAUAUAAUGAUGAUGAGAUAUGGGUUGAGUUUAGAAGUGCUAUUUGAACCGUUUUGCAGGUUGGGUAAGUCUCAAGUAUAGGGAAAACUCUGCCAGAUUUUCGGCAUGAAUUAGACUGUCUAUUGUCUCUUUAGAGUCUUAUUCUGAAUUAAUGCUAAUAAAUCCAUAAUAUAAUUAUCUAGGUGAUUGAGGACAGCUAUUUUCUCCUACCCAACAGCCGCGAUAGCCUUUGGUGUAUUGUGAGUAAAAUAUUAAUUUAAUUGUAAUUUCGAUAUUAUUAUAUGUUCAAGCAUGCCCAUGCAUCAACUCCCAUAUAUGUAUUGCUUAACAGUGUUGGGUGUGUGAGUACUCCAAAUUGCCUUUUUGCUGUUAUGAUGUAAAUUGUAUGAAAAUUAUGAUGAUGUUGCAUUUCAUUCUACAGGGUGCAUUAGCUUUAGAUAGCUAUAAAAAUUGUACUUAAAAUUGGUAUUUUACUAUCUGAGUCGAACGCUCACUCCUGUUCAUCUAUUUUUCUAGGCUACAGAAGGAUUAUUUGUUGUGGCUAACCUGUUCUUCUUCUUCACAGGUCAAUUGAUAGUAUUUAAUAUAUUUUGUACAAUCGAGUUAAAUUUUAGACUCUGCAUGUGUUAGAAGUACUUAUUUUUAUUUUGAGCCUGUAUUAUAAAAGUUAUAUUGUACCUAUAAAAUUAUUAACUGUAUGUAUGACUGGAUGGGAUGAGGGAGCUGAGCUCGCAUUGGACUUUUGA